rnacentral:lncRNA from 1 species
UCUGAGACGCUGAGAGCAUGUUUAUUGCAUGUUUUUUAGUUUGAGGUUCUUAGCGUAAUAUAAGAUACGGUCUCUUAACUUUUAACUAAAAAAACUAAGUGAUUUCUCUUAUAUCUUUUAUUUAAGAGACGUCUCUUAGUGUUUUUAGUUAAAAUCUAAGAUACCGUAUUUUAUAUUACGCUAAAAACUCCAACCUAAGAGACCUGCAAUAAACAUGCUCUGAGUUGUUUCGAAGUAGCGGAACCAGGGCGAGUCUGGAGUUUCCAAGGACUUUCGCACGCAUAAGUUACUUGAAUAAUCAGUAUCUCACAAUGCAGAGCUACGUAGACUUUUGAACUUAU